AUGUUGGGGGAGAUGGGUCUGGAAGGAGAGGGGCCUGAAUGUGACCAAGGGAACAUCAACACCCUGAGUGACUUCCACAGGAUCCCAGAAGUUUCUGUCUUCUUAAAAGUACAAUCUUUAGUUAUGAUUUUCCGUGUCUCCUUUCUACCUUUUAUAUUUCUUCUUUCUUGCCUCAUCCUGAGCAAUGCUGUUGUUAAAUACGCACCUCCUGUGGACCUUCCAUGCAAUACAACUGGACCAUAUGCGCUUCCGGGCACUGACUGCCCACUUAUCUGCAGAUGUGGAGGGUUACGAGGUCCAUCCUGUAAAGGCCCCACCACCCUUCACUCCAUGCUGAGGACCAGGCCUGCAACACUGGAACUCCUGGUGGACAAAACGCAUCACAACUACACCAAUUACCAAAAGUAUGAAGCGGAAAGAGACCCCUGGGACAGAUGAUAAUGCCACCGCAGGGAGCAGGGGAAGAGGAGCAUGCUGGGAGGACAAUUCCCUAAGGAAUGACGGACCAACAAGAUGAAAAGUAGCAGGAUCCUGGAAGGACUGGAACAGCUGCCAACUGGACUCUCAUCACAGACUUGGCGAAAGACUUGGGAAUUAUCCGUCCUCUGUUGGAGGAGGAGCUCUCUGCCCAAGCAUCCUAAACCUUCACCCUCUAUAAUAGGCCAUUCAUUUAAGGUGCACAAUGACCCAGAGAGUUGGCUACUAUUAUUAUUCCUGUUUCACAUGUAAGGUUACUGAGGCUCAGAGAAGGCUGAAUAAUUUGCCCAAAUCUAUCGCUGAACCGCCCUAAAUGGACCCAAUCUUACAAGCUUGCUUGGUGCUUGGAUGGGAGGCUGCUUAUCACUGCCAGAAGCCCGAGGCUUUACAAUAAUAAUAAAUUCACCCACAAUUCCCAAACCAUGUGGUGCAAACAACAUCAGAAGCCAGAUUCCUUCAGCUCUAAAGAACACACACAAGUUCUGACUCACAAGUUCCAGGGCUGAGGCUGAGAAUCUGCAUUUGUAUAAAGCUCCUCUGUUACAGUUUGGAUUAAAAAUAAAAUGUGCCCACCAAAAUCUGAUGUCUUCAGAGGUGGGGGUUUUGGAAAGUGAUUGGAUCACAGGGAUGCUGA
rnacentral:lncRNA from 1 species